rnacentral:rRNA from 1 species
UACGUAGGGGGCAAGCGUUGUCCGGAAUCAUUGGGCGUAAAGCGCGCGUAGGCGGCGUGACUAGUCACUUGUGAAAUCUCCGGGCUUAACUCGGAACGGUCAAGUGAUACUGUCGUGCUAGAGUACAGAAGGGGCAACUGGAAUUCUCGGUGUAGCGGUGAAAUGCGUAGAUAUCGAGAGGAACACCUGCGGCGAAGGCGGGUUGCUGGGCUGAUACUGACGCUGAGAAGCGAAAGCAUGGGGAGCGAACAGG